UCCCGCUUGCCCAGUGAUUAAAUUUAACGNCCGCGGUAUCCUAACCNUGCGAAGGUAGNGUAAUCANUUGUUCUUUAAAUGAGGANUAGUAUGAACGGCACCACGAAGGUUACACUGUCUCCUUUUUNUAAUCAGUGAAACUAAUUUCCCCGUGAAGAAGCGGGGAUAAUAUAAUAAGACGAGAAGACCCUAUGGAGCUUUAAACACAGUAACAACAUUAUAUAAAUUUCUGAAAGUAUAAUGAUUACUAGUUUUAGGUUGGGGUGACCGCGGAGAAAAAUAUAACCUCCACAUUGAAAGAAUUCUAAGCCCAAAGCUACAACUUAAAGCAUCAACAUAUUGACAUUAAUUGACCCAAUUAUAUUGAGCAACGAACCAAGUUACCCUAGGGAUAACAGCGCAAUCCACUUUAAGAGCCCCUAUCGACAAGUGGGUUUACGACCUCGAUGUUGGAUCAGGGUUUCCCAGUGGUGCAGCCGNUAGUAAAG
rnacentral:rRNA from 1 species